UUUAAACAUCUCUGCUGGGAGGUGAAUGGUGAAGCCCAAGCUCAGUGAAGCUGCAGUGUUUAGACUGAGUGUGGUCUGUGAUGUGGCUGCUGGUGCUGGAACCAAGCUGAUUGUCCUCAAAUGAGCUCCUCUUGAGUUACGGUAACUCAAGCAAUUCUGACUUUAUCCUAGAUGCCAGCCCUCAGCUAUUCCUGGAAUUAGAGUCUAGGCUAAGAGUGUCUGUUUUAAUAGAAAAAACAUCUAUAGCAUCUCCAAUUUUUUUUUUCAUUCUAAAGAAAUGUUAAUUUUUCUAAUUUCUGCUGAUUUUUCCCGUGGACCCACUGACUCUCCCACACAUUCUGCCUUAUGAUAGAAGCGCUUUUGUGAUGAAAGAAAGUAAGGCCUAUUCAUGGGAAAAGCUCUGUCUUGCACCACCUUUUGAGGAUGUGAUACCAUGUGGACAUGGGAAGCUGGAAAGAGAAAGGACAGGCAUGGCAUGGAGUUUACUUUGCCAACACUGGUGUCAAUGAAUACCCAGGAACUGCAAAUACUGGUUGGAAACACGUUCUGCUGUCCAGAGGCAUAAUUACAGAAAGCUUGUAGUUGUCUUUAUCACAAAGUUUUAAUUAGCAGGACACAUUAAAUAACCAGCUGAUACAGAUCUUAAUGAAUCAUUUAUAGGCCUACAUCUAGGAUAAUUAUAUGUAGCUGGGCACAUGAAAUCACUUGCAUACGCCUGGGCUUAUGUGAAAUGGAAUAUGCAUUUUCCUCGUGAAAUAAGGGUGAAAGAGAGGGAUGGGACAAAACUGGGGCACCAGCCUGCCUUCCUCAAGCUGUUUUUGCAUGGAGUAUUGCCAACAAAAUAAAUAAAGCUGGCUUCAGGAAGUCUGCCGAGCUCCAGGGUGGGCAUCUUGGGCCAGUCCCCUUUCUUCUGGCACAUUUGUCUCUUCCAUCAUGAUAGGUACCCUAUGGCAUUCAUUUCCCACCUUCACCGCAUGCUGGCCCAUGGGCAGGUGGUCUUCGUCUUACAUCCUUUCAAAGAAUUGUAGGUUGACCUCAAGAGAUCACUGAUUUCAACCCCCCUGCUGCAGCAGGUUCCCUAUGUAGAUCACAGAGGUGGGCAUCCAGAUGAGUCUUGAAUAUCCCCAUUGAAGGAGACUCCACAACCUCCAUGGGCAACCUGUUCCAGUGCUCUGUCACCCUUACGAUACUUAGCUUGUAUAAUUGGGAGCUGUUGUUUUUAUCAAGUGAUAGUUCAACUGCUGUACUAUGUGUGGACUAUGGAAGUGCUGUCCAAUGUUUUUUUGUAUAGUGACUUGGCUUGCUCAACUGGAGCCCCAGAAGAAGCAGAGCCCCUUUAUGACUGAAAGUCAAAAGCAAGGGAUAAACAAACCAUUGCAAGUGUAUAUUUGAAAAGAUUAAGAGCAAAGUAUUACCAACCCAUGCAAUAUUGUAAUCAAAAGUCCUUUAAAAGCGGCGUUGA